rnacentral:rRNA from 1 species
UACGAGGGGUGCAAGCGUUAAUCGGAAUUACUGGGCGUAAAGCGCGCGUAGGCGGCUUGAUAAGUCGGAUGUGAAAGCCCUGGGCUCAACCUGGGAACUGCAUUCGAUACUGUCGAGCUAGAGUGUGGGAGAGGGUGGUGGAAUUCCCGGUGUAGCGGUGAAAUGCGUAGAUAUCGGGAGGAACAUCAGUGGCGAAGGCGACCGCCUGGCCCAACACUGACGCUGAGGUGCGAAAGCGUGGGUAGCAAACAGGAUUAGAAACCCCGGUAGU